UACGUAGGGCGCAAGCGUUGUCCGGAAUUAUUGGGCGUAAAGAGCUCGUAGGCGGCUUGUCACGUCGGAUGUGAAAGCCCGGGGCUUAACUCCGGGUCUGCAUUCGAUACGGGCUGGCUAGAGUGUGGUAGGGGAGAUCGGAAUUCCUGGUGUAGCGGUGAAAUGCGCAGAUAUCAGGAGGAACACCGGUGGCGAAGGCGGAUCUCUGGGCCAUUACUGACGCUGAGACGCGAAAGCGUGGGGAGCAAACAGG
rnacentral:rRNA from 1 species